GCCCAGAUGGCGGAAUCGGCAGACGCAACGGACUCAAAAUCCGUCGCCAGCGAUGGCGUGUGGGUUCGACCCCCACUCUGGGCACCA
rnacentral:tRNA from 1 species